rnacentral:rRNA from 1 species
UACGUAGGGACCGAGCGUUGUCCGGAAUCAUUGGGCGUAAAGAGCGUGUAGGCGGCUGGGUAGGUCCGUUGUGAAAACUCGAGGCUCAACCUCGAGACGCCGAUGGAAACCCUCCAGCUAGAGUCCGGAAGAGGAGAGUGGAAUUCCUGGUGUAGCGGUGAAAUGCGCAGAUAUCAGGAAGAACACCCGUGGCUAAGGCGGCUCUCUAGUACGGUACUGACGCUGAGACGCGAAAGCGUGGGGAGCGAACAGG